rnacentral:rRNA from 1 species
UACGGGGGGGGCAAGCGUUGUUCGGAAUUACUGGGCGUAAAGGGCUCGUAGGCGGCCAACUAAGUCAGACGUGAAAUCCCUCGGCUUAACCGGGGAACUGCGUCUGAUACUGGAUGGCUUGAAUCCGGGAGAGGGAUGCGGAAUUCCAGGUGUAGCGGUGAAAUGCGUAGAUAUCUGGAGGAACACCGGCGGCGAAGGCGGCUGCCUGGACCAGUCCUGACGCUGAGGCGCGAAAGCUAGGGGAGCAAACAGG